rnacentral:tRNA from 1 species
GCCGGUGUGGCUCAGUGGUUAGAGCGCCGGUGGUCGUGGGUUCGAUUCCCAGCCAGGGACA